rnacentral:rRNA from 1 species
UGGGGAAUUUUGGACAAUGGGCGAAAGCCUGAUCCAGCAAUGCCGCGUGUGUGAAGAAGGCCUUCGGGUUGUAAAGCACUUUUGUCCGGAAAGAAAUCCUUGGCUCUAAUACAGUCGGGGGAUGACGGUACCGGAAGAAUAAGCACCGGCUAACUACGUGCCAGCAGCCGCGGUAAUACGUAGGGUGCAAGCGUUAAUCGGAAUUACUGGGCGUAAAGCGUGCGCAGGCGGUUUGCUAAGACCGAUGUGAAAUCCCCGGGCUCAACCUGGGAACUGCAUUGGUGACUGGCAGGCUAGAGUAUGGCAGAGGGGGGUAGAAUUCCACGUGUAGCAGUGAAAUGCGUAGAGAUGUGGAGGAAUACCGAUGGCGAAGGCAGCCCCCUGGGCCAAUACUGACGCUCAUGCACGAAAGCGUGGGGAGCAAACAGGAUUAGAUACCCUGGUAGUCCACGCCCUAAACGAUGUCAACUAGUUGUUGGGGAUUCAUUUCCUUAGUAACGUAGCUAACGUGUGAAGUUGACCGCCUGGGGAGUACGGUCGCAAGAUUAAAACUUAAAUGAAUUGACGGGGUCAUAGCUGUUUCCU